rnacentral:rRNA from 1 species
UGGGGAAUCUUGGACAAUGGGGGCAACCCUGAUCCAGCCAUGCCGCGUGAGUGAUGAAGGCCUUAGGGUCGUAAAGCUCUUUCGCCUGUGAAGAUAAUGACGGUAGCAGGUAAAGAAACCCCGGCUAACUCCGUGCCAGCAGCCGCGGUAAUACGGAGGGGGUUAGCGUUGUUCGGAAUUACUGGGCGUAAAGCGCACGUAGGCGGACCAGAAAGUUGGGGGUGAAAUCCCGGGGGCUCAACCCCGGAACUGCCUCCAAAACUAUUGGUCUAGAGUUCGAGAGAGGUGAGUGGAAUUCCAAGUGUAGAGGUGAAAUUCGUAGAUAUUUGGAGGAACACCAGUGGCGAAGGCGGCUCACUGGCUCGAUACUGACGCUGAGGUGCGAAAGUGUGGGGAGCAAACAGGAUUAGAUACCCUGGUAGUCCACGCCGUAAAACGAUGUCAACUAGCCGUUGGGAGGGUUGCCUCUUAGUGGCGCAGCUAACGCGAUAAGUUGACCG